rnacentral:tRNA from 1 species
GCCGUCGUAGCGCAAUGGUAGCGCGUCGCUUUCCUACUUGCACUGUCUAGGCGAAGGUUGCGAGUUCGAUCCUCGUCGUCGGUA